rnacentral:rRNA from 1 species
UUCUAGAGCUAAUACAAUGAAGCUUCGACCUGCAUUUAUUAGACCAAUGGUGACUCUGAAUAACUCUGCAGAUCACAUUAGUACCGGUGACAUAUCUUUCAAGUGUCUGCCCUAUCAACUUUCGAUGGUAGUUUAUGUGCCUACCAUGGUUGUAACGGGUAACGGAGAAUAAGGGUUCGACUCCGGAGAGGGAGCCUGAGAAAUGGCUACCACAUCCAAGGA